rnacentral:tRNA from 1 species
GGCGCUAUAGCCAAGUGGUUACGGCGACAGAUUCGAAAUCUGUUUCACUUUGUGAGCGCAGGUUCAAAUCCUGCUGGCGUCG